AUGAGAGAAGGGGUGACCGCGGGGGAAGAAAAAUCCCCUGAGGAAAGUCCGGGCACCCUGAAGUGACACUGGGUAACUCCCAGAGGGGGCGACCUCUGGAUAGUGCCACAGAAACAAUACCACCUGGAAGGUAGAACUUCCAGGAAAGGGUGAAAUGGUGGGGUAAGAGCCCACCAGCAGGGAAGUGAUUCCCUGGCUGGGUAAACCCUGUCGGGUGCAAGGCCAAGUAGGAGGUUUAACCUCGGGUGGGCCGCUUGAGGCCCGGGGUAACCUGGGUCCCAGAUAAAUGGUCACCGCCGGAUACCUCCGGUAACAGAACCCGGCUUACACUUCUCUCAUCUCC
rnacentral:RNase_P_RNA from 1 species